rnacentral:rRNA from 1 species
GUCUUGUUGAUCUUAAUUUCAAGUCUGACCUGCCCAGUGAAGAGUUAAAUGGCUGCGGUAUCUUGACCGUACAAAGGUAGCAUAAUCAUUAGUUUCUUAAUUAGAAGCUUGUAUAAAAGGUUUGAUGAAAAAAUAACUGUCUCUUUAAAAAUUUAUUAAAAUUUUAUUUUUAAGUUAAAAAGCUUAAAUAUUAAUAGAAGACGAGAAGACCCUAUAGAGUUUAAUAUUUAAAGAAUGAAAAAAUUUCUAGUUUAUUAUAUUUUUUUAUUUUAAAAUUAUUUUGUUGGGGUGAUAGAAAAAUUGAAUGAACUUUUUUAAAAUUCAUUAACACUGAUAUGUGAAUGUGUGAUCCUUAAAUUAAGAUUAUAAGAUAAAAUUACCUUAGGGAUAACAGCGUAAUUUUUUCUAGAGUUCUUAUCGAAGAAAUAGAUUGCGACCUCGAUGUUGGAUUAAAAUAAAAUUUUGGUGAAGAUGCUGAAAGUUUAGGUCUGUUCGACCUUUAAAAUUUUACAUGAUCUGAGUUUAAACCGGUGUGAG